rnacentral:rRNA from 1 species
AUUGAACGCUGGCGGCAUGCUUUACACAUGCAAGUCGAACAGCAGCGGGGGCUUCGGCCCGCCGGCGAGUGGCGAACGGGUGAGUAAUGCAUCGGAACGUGCCCAGUCGUGGGGGAUAACACAUCGAAAGAUGUGCUAAUACCGCAUACGUCCUGAGGGAGAAAGCGGGGGAUCUUCGGACCUCGCGCGAUUGGAGCGGCCGAUGUCGGAUUAGCUAGUUGGUGGGGUAAAAGCCCACCAAGGCGACGAUCCGUAGCGGGUCUGAGAGGAUGAUCCGCCACACUGGGACUGAGACACGGCCCAGACUCCUACGGGAGGCAGCAGUGGGGAAUUUUGGACAAUGGGGGCAACCCUGAUCCAGCCAUGCCGCGUGAGUGAAGAAGGCC